AGUAACGGCGAGUGAAGCGGGAAAAGCUCAAAUUUAAAAUCUGGCGGUCCCUGUGGCCGUCCGAGUUGUAAUUUAGAGAAGUGUUAUCCGUGCUGGACCGUGUACAAGUCUCCUGGAAUGGAGCGUCAUAGAGGGUGAGAAUCCCGUCUUUGACACGGACUGCCAGUGCAUUGUGAUGCGCUCUCAAAGAGUCGAGUUGUUUGGGA
rnacentral:rRNA from 1 species